ACUCUCCAAGCAUGCGUACUGAGACGCGAGCCCCUCCUCCCACAAUCCUUCACGUCGGAGCUCACCGCCUACUCAGACGGAGGGCUGGCCGAACCUUGGAUCUCCUUUUGAGGCGCCAAGUGUUUCAGGUCCUGGGCUUGUCGGGAAAACUCUGGAAAACACGUUAGACUAGAUAAUCCAAACAAUGAAGAGAUACUCAGGAAGUGGUGGUGAAAAGAAACGGUUGGAACCCAGGAAGGAAACGAAAAGCUCACCAACUGAAGCAAAGUUCAGGUAACUGAAAGCUGCUUUUGUUGUCACAUGCCAGGCAAGGGCAACAUUGACUCCUUACUAUUACUUGUAAAGCAAAGGCUUGAGAAAACAGUCCAUCCUCUCUGAACCAAUGAGUCGCUUAAGCUUAGGCAGAAAGAACCUGGCUUCUGCAGAUGUCUUAAGAAAUCUAUGUCAGAAUCCACCUUAUAAGGUGUCUCAGGCUGGGUUUGGGGUUUUUUGGUUUGUUUUUUGCUUUUUGUUUUUCGUUCUUCCCAGCAAGAAUCCUUUCCAGAUUCUAAUCACUCUUAAAGGCUGAAAUAAGUCCUGCUUUGACUACGCCUUGCCCCCAAAUGAGACACAGAACUUUAAUUUGUACCUACUACAAAUUUUUACAGUAUUUAGAUUCUGUAGAGCACGAUCUGAUGUUCAAUUCAGUGGGUCAUUUAGUAUGACAGUUGUUCCAGAAAGAUCAGAAUGCUCUCCAUAAAAGGAUAGAUGCUUCCCAAGGAUGUAUCUGUAAUACCUCUUUUUUUUUUUCCUACUCAGCUACCUGAAUAAUUAUUUAUUUA